rnacentral:tRNA from 1 species
AGGUAGCUCAGUGGGAGAGCGCUGCCCUGAAGAGGCAGUUGUCCCCGGUUCGAAUCCCCCGGCUGGUGUA